UACGUAGGGCGCAAGCGUUGUCCGGAAUUACUGGGCGUAAAGCGUGCGUAGGUGGUUUGUUAAGUCUGAUGUGAAAGCCCUGGGCUCAACCUGGGAAUUGCACUGGAUACUGGCAGGCUAGAGUGCGGUAGAGGAUGGCGGAAUUCCCGGUGUAGCAGUGAAAUGUCGUAGAGAUCGGGAGGAACAUCUGUGGCGGAAGGCGGCCAUCUGGACCAGCACUGACACUGAGGCACGAAAGCGUGGGGAGCAAACAGG
rnacentral:rRNA from 1 species